ensembl:snRNA U6 U6 spliceosomal RNA
GUGCUUCGGCAGCACAUAUACUAACAUUGGAACAAAACAGAGAAGAUUAGCAUGGCCCCUGCACAAGGAUGAUACUCGAAUUUGUGAAAGCAUUCCAUAUUAA